GACGAACGCUGGCGGCGUGCUUAACACAUGCAAGUCGAACGGAAAGGCCCUGCUUUUGUGGGGUGCUCGAGUGGCGAACGGGUGAGUAACACGUGAGUAACCUGCCCUUGACUUUGGUAUAACUUCAGGAAACUGGGGCUAAUACCGGAUAGGAGCUCCUGCUGCAUGGUGGGGGUUGGAACGUUUCGGCGGUUGGGGAUGGACUCGCGGCUUAUCAGCUUGUUGGUGGGGUAGUGGCUUACCAAGGCUUUGACGGGUAGCCGGCCUGAGAGGGUGACCGGCCACAUUGGGACUGAGAUACGGCCCAGACGCGUACGGGAGGCAGCAGUGGGGAAUAUUGCACAGUGGGAGGAAGCCUGAGGCAGAAACGCCGCGUGCGGGAUGACGGCCUUCGGGUUGUAAACCGCUUUAGCCUGUGACGAAGCGUGAGUGACGGUAAUGGGUAAAGAAGCACCGGCUAACUACGUG
rnacentral:rRNA from 1 species